GGACGGCGCCGAGGAGCAGGCUGCAGGCGGCGGCGAGGCCGGCGAGGCGGGCGGCGCUGGUGGUGGAGGCGAGGGGGAGGGGGUGGUCGGACCGGCGGUCCCAGCAGCAGCGCAUGCCGCAGCUGCCCAAGAUCGAGGACGACGGCAACCCGCGCUUCGUCAUCUUCAUCCGCACCGCCAAUGUGUACUUCUGGUACCCGCUC
rnacentral:misc_RNA from 1 species